GGCGGUUGCUAAGGGGCGUGGCGUUGCUAGGGACGUGCACAUGUUAUCCUUAUAUAGGCCUGGGGUUGCUAGGGGACAUGGUGUUGAUAGGGGUGUGGCCACAGGGUCUGUCUGGGCCUAUAGGGUUGCUUCAGGCCUUGCCGGUUGCUAUGGGGGGGUGGUUGUUGGGGGCGUGGCUAAGGCGACCCCAAGGCUUUUCCUAUAGGGAAAAGGGGUCGCUAGGCAGUGUGGCGUUGCUAGGGGGCAUGGAUAACUCCCGUUCUCCCCCAAAGAGGAGCGGUUGGAGCCCAAAGCCGCAACAAUGCCGACCUGCACCUCAACCGCGCCACCCUCCUCCUAUACCAGGAGAGCUUCGGGGCUGCACUGGACGGCCUGAGCCUCGCGGCUGCGCUGGCGCCCGGGUGGUCGGAGCCUCGGCGGCGCCACGCCCACCUGCUGGACUUCCUGGAGAGGCUGCGCGCCGCGAUGGCCAAUCGAGGCGCUGGGCGUGGCCGUGGGGGGCGGGGGACCGUGGUCACCAUGUACAACACGGCGCCAGAGUUGGGGGGUUGGGUGGGGGAAGGGCUGUCGGUGCCCAGCCCCCACCUGACCCUGCACCAGCACCUUCACCAGGGACAGGAAGCGCCCGCCCCGCCGCGCGCUGGCCCCGCCCCGGCUGGCGCUCUCGGCACCGCCCCCACUGCCGGACGCGCCCCCGGCGCCGGAUUAAACGUGCCCCGAUUGGCUGGAGCUUCCUGCGCCGCGGCAUCGUCGCC